GAUGAACGCUGGCGGCGUGCUUAACACAUGCAAGUCGAACGGGAAUUACUUUAUUGAAACUUCGGUCGAUUUAAUUUAAUUCUAGUGGCGGACGGGUGAGUAACGCGUGGGUAACCUGCCUUAUACAGGGGGAUAACAGUCAGAAAUGGCUGCUAAUACCGCAUAAGCGCACAGAGCUGCAUGGCUCAGUGUGAAAAACUCCGGUGGUAUAAGAUGGACCCGCGUUGGAUUAGCUAGUUGGUGGGGUAACGGCCCACCAAGGCGACGAUCCAUAGCCGGCCUGAGAGGGUGAACGGCCACAUUGGGACUGAGACACGGCCCAGACUCCUACGGGAGGCAGCAGUGGGGAAUAUUGCACAAUGGGGGAAACCCUGAUGCAGCGACGCCGCGUGAAGGAAGAAGUAUCUCGGUAUGUAAACUUCUAUCAGCAGGGAAGAUAGUGACGGUACCUGACUAAGAAGCCCCGGCUAACUACGUGCCAGCAGCCGCGGUAAUACGUAGGGGGCAAGCGUUAUCCGGAUUUACUGGGUGUAAAGGGAGCGUAGACGGUGUGGCAAGUCUGAUGUGAAAGGCAUGGGCUCAACCUGUGGACUGCAUUGGAAACUGUCAUGCUUGAGUGCCGGAGGGGUAAGCGGAAUUCCUAGUGUAGCGGUGAAAUGCGUAGAUAUUAGGAGGAACACCAGUGGCGAAGGCGGCUUACUGGACGGUAACUGACGUUGAGGCUCGAAAGGGUGGGGAG
rnacentral:rRNA from 1 species